CAUCGAAUACGCUGCUUGAUCAUGCUACUUCGCCACCCCAUACAUUAAAUUCCUGGCACUUAUACUAACAAGGUACAGUACGGGUACCUGAUCACACUUUAGAAACUUUAACACUCUCAUCGAGGAUUAUGUCAUCCCCUUUGUAGGAGCAGCAGUCCUCCGGCCCACAUCGCCAAAUGACAACGAAAGUGGAUCUAAGAGCGUUUCGCCGGGAGGAUGAGGUGGCAGCACAGGCCAGAGACACUUUUCAGGCAUGCCCAAUGCAAGUCGUCGUAUAUGUAUACCAUUCACCUGAGCAGAGUCGUGGAUUUAUCUGUGUGCA
rnacentral:lncRNA from 1 species